UGAGGAAUAUUGCACAAUGGGCGAAAGCCUGAUGCAGCGACACCGCGUGAAGGAUGAAGGUCUUAGGAUUGUAAACUUCUGUUAAGUGGGAAAAAAGACUUGCUCCAAAUAAGAGUAAGGGAUGAUGGUACCACUAGAGAAAGCACCGGCUAACUUCGUGCCAGCAGCCGCGGUAAUACGAGGGGUGCAAACGUUAUUCGGAAUUACUGGGUGUAAAGGGUAUGUAGACGGCAUUUUAAGUCAAUUGUUAAAUUCCCCAGCUUAACUGGGGGUCAGCGGUUGAAACUAAAAAGCUAGAGUAUGGAAGAGAGAAGUGGAAUUCUCGGAGUAGCGGUAAAAUGCGUAGAUCUCGAGAGGAACACCGAUGGCGAAGGCAGCUUCUUGGUCCAUUACUGACGUUGAGAUACGAAAGCGUGGGGAGCAAACAGG
rnacentral:rRNA from 1 species